rnacentral:rRNA from 1 species
UACGUAGGGCGCAAGCGUUAUCCGGAAUUAUUGGGCGUAAAGAGCUCGUAGGCGGUCAGUCGCGUCUGCUGUGAAAACUCGGGGCUUAACUCCGGGCCUGCAGUGGGUACGGGCUGACUAGAGUGCGGUAGGGGAGACUGGAAUUCCUGGUGUAGCGGUGAAAUGCGCAGAUAUCAGGAGGAACACCAGUGGCGAAGGCGAUCACCUGGGGUUGUUCUGACGCUGAGGAGCGAAAGCUAGGGGAGCAAACGGGG